GCCUUCGUGGUGUAGUGGUCAGCACGCUCGACGCAUAACCGAGAGGUUUGUGGUUCGAUUCCUUCGAAAAGGCG
rnacentral:tRNA from 1 species